rnacentral:rRNA from 1 species
CUUGCUCCUUUGACGUUAGCGGCGGACGGGUGAGUAACACGUGGGUAACCUACCUAUAAGACUGGGAUAACUUCGGGAAACCGGAGCUAAUACCGGAUAACAUUUGGAACCGCAUGGUUCUAAAGUGAAAGAUGGUUUUGCUAUCACUUAUAGAUGGACCCGCGCCGUAUUAGCUAGUUGGUAAGGUAACGGCUUACCAAGGCGACGAUACGUAGCCGACCUGAGAGGGUGAUCGGCCACACUGGAACUGAGACACGGUCCAGACUCCUACGGGAGGCAGCAGUAGGGAAUCUUCCGCAAUGGGCGAAAGCCUGACGGAGCAACGCCGCGUGAGUGAUGAAGGGUUUCGGCUCGUAAAACUCUGUUAUUAGGGAAGAACAAACGUGUAAGUAACUGUGCACGUCUUGACGGUACCUAAUCAGAAAGCCACGGCUAACUACGUGCCAGCAGCCGCGGUAAUACGUAGGUGGCAAGCGUUAUCCGGAAUUAUUGGGCGUAAAGCGCGCGUAGGCGGUUUCUUAAGUCUGAUGUGAAAGCCCACGGCUCAACCGUGGAGGGUCAUUGGAAACUGGGAAACUUGAGUGCAGAAGAGGAAAGUGGAAUUCCAUGUGUAGCGGUGAAAUGCGCAGAGAUAUGGAGGAACACCAGUGGCGAAGGCGACUUUCUGGUCUGUAACUGACGCUGAUGUGCGAAAGCGUGGGGAUCAAACAGGAUUAGAUACCCUGGUAGUCCACGCCGUAAACGAUGAGUGCUAAGUGUUAGGGGGUUUCCGCCCCUUAGUGCUGCAGCUAACGCAUUAAGCACUCCGCCUGGGGAGUACGACCGCAAGGUUGAAACUCAAAGGAAUUGACGGGGACCCGCACAAGCGGUGGAGCAUGUGGUUUAAUUCGAAGCAACGCGAAGAACCUUACCAAAUCUUGACAUCCUUUGAAAACUCUAGAGAUAGAGCCUUCCCCUUCGGGGGACAAAGUGACAGGUGGUGCAUGGUUGUCGUCAGCUCGUGUCGUGAGAUGUUGGGUUAAGUCCCGCAACGAGCGCAACCCUUAAGCUUAGUUGCCAUCAUUAAGUUGGGCACUCUAGGUUGACUGCCGGUGACAAACCGGAGGAAGGUGGGGAUGACGUCAAAUCAUCAUGCCCCUUAUGAUUUGGGCUACACACGUGCUACAAUGGACAAUACAAAGGGCAGCUAAACCGCGAGGUCAUGCAAAUCCCAUAAAGUUGUUCUCAGUUCGGAUUGUAGUCUGCAACUCGACUACAUGAAGCUGGAAUCGCUAGUAAUCGUAGAUCAGCAUGCUACGGUGAAUACGUUCCCGGGUCUUGUACACACCGCCCGUCACACCACGAGAGUUUUAACACCCGAAGCCGGUGGAGUAA